GGGGGCAACCCUGGUGGCGAGUGGCGAACGGGUGAGUAAUGCAUCGGAACGUACCCAAUCGUGGGGGAUAACGUGGCGAAAGUCACGCUAAUACCGCAUACGUCCUGAGGGAGAAAGCAGGGGAUCGCAAGACCUUGCGCGAUUGGAGCGGCCGAUGUCUGAUUAGCUAGUUGGUGGGGUAAAAGCCUACCAAGGCGACGAUCCGUAGCUGGUCUGAGAGGAUGAUCAGCCACACUGGGACUGAGACACGGCCCAGACUCCUACGGGAGGCAGCAGUGGGGAAUUUUGGACAAUGGGGGCAACCCUGAUCCAGCCAUUCCGCGUGAGUGAAGAAGGCCUUCGGGUUGUAAAGCUCUUUCGGCAGGAACGAAACGGCGGGCUCUAACAUGGCCUGUCAAUGACGGUACCUGAAGAAGAAGCACCGGCUAACUCCGUGCCAGCAGCCGCGGUAAUACGGAGGGUGCAAGCGUUGUUCGGAUUUAUUGGGCGUAAAGCGCGUGUAGGCGGUUUGUUAAGUCUGAUGUGAAAGCCCCGGGCUCAACCUGGGAAGUGCAUUGGAAACUGGCAGACUUGAAUACGGGAGAGGGUAGUGGAAUUCCUAGUGUAGGAGUGAAAUCCGUAGAUAUUAGGAGGAACACCGGUGGCGAAGGCGGCUACCUGGACCGAUAUUGACGCUCAUGCACGAAAGCGUGGGUAGCAAACAGGAUUAGAUACCCUGGUAGUCCACGCCCUAAACGAUGCCAACUAGGUGUUGGGGAAGGAGACUUCCUUAGUACCGUAGCUAACGCGUGAAGUUGGUCGCCUGGGGAGUACGGUCGCAAGAUUAAAACUCAAAGGAAUUGACGGGGACCCGCACAAGCGGUGGAUGAUGUGGAUUAAUUCGAUGC
rnacentral:rRNA from 1 species